rnacentral:rRNA from 1 species
UACGGAGGGUGCAAGCGUUAUUCGGAUUUAUUGGGCGUAAAGAGCGUGUAGGCGGUUAUGUAAGUCAGAUGUGAAAGCCUUCUGCUCAACGGAAGAAGUACAUCUGAAACUGCAUAACUUGAGUACGGGAGAGGAAAGUGGAAUUCCCAGUGUAGAGGUGAAAUUCGUAGAUAUUGGGAGGAACACCUGUGGCGAAGGCGACUUUCUGGACCGAUACUGACGCUGAGACGCGAAAGCGUGGGGAGCAAACAGGAUUAGAUACCCGCGUA